rnacentral:lncRNA from 1 species
GAAAGCAUUUAACUUGGACUGUUUCAGGGUAUAUCACUCUCAUAAAGCUGCUCUGGGCAGUUGCAUCUUUAAUGAGGUUCCUUAGAUAAGAGGAACAAAUACUCUCAACUGAAAGCUGUCUCAACAAGUAUGGAACUAUACUUAUUUAAUUCAAGCAAUGGGUUUACUCACACCCUUCCUUCUUUCAGAAAGGAUUUCAGGCAGCUUAGCAAGUGUGAAGGUCUAAAGGUAUAGAGACACCUGAAAGCCUCAGAUUAAUAUCUGGAACAUAUAACGUGUCCAGAUAGUUUUCAAUUAUCAAUACAUUAAUCUAACGCUUGGAAAGAGCUUUUAAACAGCAGUGAAACAUCAACUACCUUCGAACCUGAAUUUUUAGUAAGCUAUUUUGUCAUCUGGAGCCCUGCACAAUGUCCCUUUUGUUCCUUAGAAAAAAAGAAAGAAAGAAAAGCAACCUUCUGGUGCUGCUUUUGUUCGUCUUAUCAUCUUAUCAUUCAGCAGCCUAUUCAGGAUCACACGUGGGAAAGUGUGUAAGACUGACCCCUCUAUGCAGCGCAGGAAUUCCUUGGAAAAACAUCUUUCUUAAAUGGGUAGCUAUGUAAAAAGGAAAAGAGAAAUCCUACUUUUAUGCUGAAGUUGGCUUUUUGCUCCCUAUGUUGAAAUUCUAAUGUUUAAGAAAAUGCAAAGCAGACCCUCUCUGUGGCUGUCUUCACACUCCAGGGUUAUGACAGCAGCUGCUUACCUGAGGUUACUAGGGGAUUCUUGCAAUGGAAAGGAGAGAACACCGCGCUUUAAGCCAACGUGCUCUGUCUGAUGUUUUGUUUUUGAGAAUAGAGGGUGACAAAGAGAUAUAUUUUCUACUGAAUUAUGCCAAUAUUACAUGAACAUUAUGGGGAUAAGAAUGGUUACAAAGUUCCCUGAAAAUAUCAAUAUGUAUGAUUUGAGGGCCCAAGACAGAAUUGGGGGGAAAAAAAAAAAAACCAACAACAAACAAAACUAUUAUUAACAGAGUCCUGAUCUUAACACUGAAACAGAUGACAGUGUUUCAGAAUUUUGAAAUCCUGAUUACUGGAGUUACCAAAUUUAUACCCAGAUUCCAUCUGGGAAAUGCAGUGGGGCCAAACAUCUCACAACUGAGGAAUUCUCAUUACAAAUAGCAUUUCCAGAUGUGACAAACAAUUGGUCAGAUGCUACUGGACAUUUAGAAGCUUCACUGGGUGUUUCACUAAAUUUGGUGACAGCUGAUUAAUUAAACAGCCCAUUCUACAAAUACCACGAUUUUCCCUUGAAACAUUUCAUAGCAAUCACUACGCCGAGAAGAAAAAUGAAGUAUGAACUCAAUGGUAUGUGAAUAACUAAUUUCUGCAGGGUUUAUUCCUAUCCUAUACCAUUCGGCUUGGCCAUGGCCCAGGGUUCGGUUCCUCAGGAAAAAGGAGGAAUGGCCAUUGGGAAGCAAGUAGUGGACUCCAACCUUUAAGCUGCCCAAAUCUACCUAUGUACUCAUUCCCACGCAUGAAACGAGUUUCAUCUGUUUACUCCAUCUCGCUCAAAGCCGAGAACCUCUGUGCGCUUUCCUCUUGGUUGGGUUCCGAUGUGGCUGUUACAAGACCAAAAAUUAUUUCUCCUAUUAAACCAAACAGAAAAUGGUAGUGAAGGGAAUUGUAAUAAUGAACUCUGGGGAAGAAGGGAAAGGAAACACACAGCUGUUCCAGUUCCCCGGCAACAAUCAAGUGCAGCAGGGCAGAGACAGCACACCCGGGACAGACCAGAGCAAGGGCGGGUUUAGUGCUGCCCAGCUGACAGCCCACGUUUCUAAUCCCUGGGAGUGUUUCCCUUGCUCACUGUCCCCUCUGAGCCCAACACUCGUUCCUCCAGGAGGAAGUUCUGUAUCCAUUAUCUUUCGUGACCACAGACCUUUGAGGCAGACACUGUAGGGUAUUUCUUUCCCUGCUGUCUUAGCUUGGGCUGUCAUAACAAAACACCAUGGAUUGGGUGGUUUAAACAACAUCAUGUAUUUCUUACAUUUCUGGAGGCUGAGAAGUCCAAGAUCAAGGUGCCAAUAAGGUCAGUUUCUGGUGAGGGCCCAUCCUGGCUAACGCCCUUCUAGGUGUGUUCUCCCAGGGUGGGGGGCGAGAGGGCUGGAGGACGAAGGGGUGCUUUCUCUUCUAAUAAGGACACUAAUCUCUUUAUGGGGGCCCUACCAUCAUGACCUCAUCUAAAUCAAGUCACCUUCCAAAGGCCCUACCUCCAAAUACCAUCACAUUGGAUGUGAGGGGUCCAACAUACAGAUUUUGAAAGGACACAAACAUGCAACCUAUAACACUUGGGGUUAUCUAGCUUCAGAAGCCCCCUUCCAGGUGGUCUGGGUUCAGGGGCCUAGACGUUUGCUGAGGAGGUUUAUAGGCACAAGCUAUAAAUACAAAGGCUCAUGGUUUCCUUGACUGCACAGUUCUCUUAAAAGCUUGGUAGAUUGCCUGUGUAUUUGCUGAUGGUAAGUUUCUGCGCAGAUAAUCACAGUCAAAUAUUUUAUAUAGACAUAAUUUUUUUUUUAAUUUGGAGACAUUAUUUUCCCUACUAGCCUCUGUACUCUGUCAUUCCCAAAUCCUCAAAAGAGGGGCAGGAAACCUUGAAUCCUUUUGAAACAAAAGACUCAAGUGAGAAGACAAUAACCUAAAUCCCGCCUUGCCGGAGGCCCACCACCUGCAUGUGGCCAUCUCCUGCUCAGGAUGCUACUACCUAAACCUCUUUAGCCUGGGAUACAGAAGUAGUUGACCUCAACCCCAACAACACUUCAAAUUUCUGGACUUGAAAAGAUCUAAAUUGCAGACUUUAGGUGGAGAAGACCUACCUGAAUGAUGCAGAAUUUCUUUUUAACUCUUCCACAGGUUGGCUACCUCCAGCCUGAGGUCCUCUCUUGAGAGAGCAGGCAAUACACACUGGUAUAUUGAAUUUUUACCAGUUAAUACUCCUCACGAGAUGUGCUUCCUUUCAGGGAAGGCAACCUGUCAUGGAGAGCACCUGAUGAAUCCUGAGGUGUGGGUUAAGGUAGAGCUGGUGGAAAAGGAAGAGGAGGAACCCUGGGAGCCUGAGCCUCUUCUCAUUCACUCUGAGCUCUGGGUAUACCAGUGAUCAAAUCAACUCGCUGAUGCAAUGUUAGGCGACGUGCUUGGCUUUAUGGCCCACUGUGCGCUGUCCAACGUGGCAGUCAUGAGUCACACGUGGCUGCUGCUCACGGGAAUGUGACUUGUCUGAAGGGAGCUGUGAUGGCGAUAUGAAAUACACAUCACACUUGGAAAACUUAGGACCAAAAAUGUAAAAUAAAUCCAUAAAUUUUACUGAUUCCUUUUACUUGAGAGAGGCGAUGAAGUUGUGAAUUCAACCUACACUAUAAUUCAGCAAAUCUCCUGGAUCAGUCUCACCAAUGACUUGCGGCUGCCGGAGAGAGGCGACUGUUUGAAGGCAAUCACGGAAACACCAUGGCGUAUUAACCAUGAUUUAAAUGGCGAAUUUAAAGCU